UCGAAUAAACUUGAACAGGUUGUUGCUGGCCUCUAGGGGGCAUCCGUGCACGCUUGUCAUUUUAUUUCUCCCACUGUGCACCUAUUGUAGACCCUUUAUUGAUUCGUUCGAGUUGGGACUGCUGCGCUUUCAAAGUCGGCUUUCCCUUGGUCUAUGUCACAAAAAACUGUAUACGAUGUAGAAAGAAGUCCCAUUGAUAAAUAUAAAA
rnacentral:misc_RNA from 1 species